GUGUGUGUGUGUGUGUGUGUGUGUGUGUACUUUGUGAAAGGAUUACCACAGUCAACCUAAUUAAUGUUUUCAUCACCUCCCAUAGGCAUAAUUUUUUGGUGGUAAGAACAUUUAGGAUUUAAUAAAGUUAAAUGUUUUAGUAAAUUUUUAAAUUGUAAUAAUCACUGUUCUAUUCUCUACUUCUAUGACAUCAGCUGCUUAGAUUCCACAUAUGAGUGAGAUCAUGUGGUAUUUGUCUUUCUGUGUCUGGCUUAUUUCACUUACCAUGAUGUCUUCCAGUUCCAACCCUGUUGUUGCAAAUGACAGGAUUCCAUUCUUUUUUAAGGCUAAAUAG
rnacentral:lncRNA from 1 species